CAUGAAAUGAGCUUUGAACUUGCUGUGGAAAGAUCUGGGGCUCUAUUCAGGAAUGUUGUUGCUGUUACAUGAACGAGAGGCCACUUAAAAUAGCUCAGGGAAAAUGAGCUUGGUGGUGAGGACAGCAGGCUCUCGCAGGAAUGGAACAGGACCUGAAACACACCUAUAUUUGCUCUGGAAUGGAAGUCAACCUCCGGCGUAAACUAGAAUCCUUCAAGAGCCAGGUGAGGAUACAGGCAGAAGGGGUGACCCAGAAGAGAACUCCUGCCAGAACCCAAACAUGCUGACACCCUGACCUCAGACUUCCAGCCUUCAGAACUGAAAAGCAGAGCGGGGGAAAUGGGUGGCGUCUUGGUGCUACGGCUGCUUCCAGUUCUUAGUUUGUCGUCUUUAGCCUGGAAAAGAAGAGACUUCACGAGAACAUGACAAGGUGGUCACAUCCCUAAUGGGCUGUCGCGUAGUGGGAGGUGGAUCGCGCACACGCUACGUAACUCCAGGCAGAACUUCGAUGAAUCAGAAAGGUGUUCUCGAAGCAUGGAAAGAAAGACAUUUCUACACUGUCACAGAUCUCUGGGUGGACACAGGGCAUCAUGGGCCUCCCGAUACUCUUCCAACAGCUGACUCUCUCAGCUGCCACUGAUAGACACCCAACUCACACUGAUGAAACAAAAAAGAAAAUUUGCUUAUUCACCGAACUGGAAAAUCCAGGGCCCUUCAGCCUUCAGAUUAUAACUGGAUCCAGGGGCUCAAAUAUGCGCACCCCAGAGAAGGAUGGUGCAUCCCCAGACAAUCUGUGUGGACAAAGAAAGCUAUGGUUCCCCAAGGGCAAAGGCUGCAAGAAUAAUGGAUAAAGCAUUGAGGAGAGGUGGCCUUGGGUCUCUAACUUAACUGAGCAUAAUCAUCAUCUGGAAAGACAGUGAUGGACACAAAUAUGUGGGCCCUCCCUUCAGGCAUUCUAAUUCAUUGAUCUUAGAAUCCCAAUGGAGAAUUUGCAUUUUUAGCGAGUGUCCUUUCUUGUUUUAUAGAACUGUUUGAGUGUUAAAUGAGAUAAUUUAUGUGAGACUCCUUUGUUAAAUGUCAUGGAAAUGUUAACAAUCAUUCAUCUAGUCUACAGUGAAUUUGCCAAAGUCAACUAUAUGUGAAUUUGCCAGUAUCAUGGAAAACAUCAGUGGCAGAGCCAAGGGGCGGGUCUCCAGAGCUUCAAGCCAGAGUUCUUUCCAGUGCUCUAUACAAUACCGUGCUG
rnacentral:lncRNA from 1 species